rnacentral:ncRNA from 2 species
CUUUUAUCAAGAAUGAGGAAGAGAGUCAGCUCUAUGAUCUCAUACCAACCUGCAUCGGCAAGGUGGUACAGCUGACAACGAUGAAGA